rnacentral:rRNA from 1 species
UACGUAGGGGGCAAGCGUUGUCCGGAAUCAUUGGACGUAAAGCGCGUGUAGGCGGCUCGGUAAGUCUGCUGUGAAAGUCCAGGGCUCAACCCUGGGAUGCCGGUGGAUACUGUCGAGCUCGAGUCCGGAAGAGGCGAGUGGAAUUCCUGGUGUAGCGGUGAAAUGCGCAGAUAUCAGGAGGAACACCAAUGGCGAAGGCAGCUCGCUGGGACGUGACUGACGCUGAGACGCGAAAGCGUGGGGAGCAAACAGG